rnacentral:rRNA from 1 species
AGUGAACGCUGGCGGUAGGCCUAACACAUGCAAGUCGAACGGCAGCACAGUAAGAGCUUGCUCUUACGGGUGGCGAGUGGCGGACGGGUGAGGAAUACAUCGGAAUCUACUUUUUCGUGGGGGAUAACGUAGGGAAACUUACGCUAAUACCGCAUACGACCUACGGGUGAAAGCAGGGGAUCUUCGGACCUUGCGCGAUUGAAUGAGCCGAUGUCGGAUUAGCUAGUUGGCGGGGUAAAGGCCCACCAAGGCGACGAUCCGUAGCUGGUCUGAGAGGAUGAUCAGCCACACUGGAACUGAGACACGGUCCAGACUCCUGCGAGAGGCAGCAGUGGGGAAUAUUGGACAAGGGGCGCAAGCCUGAUCCAGCCAUACCGCGUGGGUGAAGAAGGCCGUCGGGUUGUAAAGCCCUUUUGUUGGGAAAGAAAAGCAGCAGGUUAAUACCCCGCUGUUCUGACGGUACCCAAAGAAUAAGCACCGGCUAACUUCG